rnacentral:rRNA from 1 species
CUUGCUUCUCUUGAGAGCGGCGGACGGGUGAGUAAUGCCUAGGAAUCUGCCUGGUAGUGGGGGAUAACGUCCGGAAACGGACGCUAAUACCGCAUACGUCCUACGGGAGAAAGCAGGGGACCUUCGGGCCUUGCGCUAUCAGAUGAGCCUAGGUCGGAUUAGCUAGUUGGUGGGGUAAUGGCUCACCAAGGCGACGAUCCGUAACUGGUCUGAGAGGAUGAUCAGUCACACUGGAACUGAGACACGGUCCAGACUCCUACGGGAGGCAGCAGUGGGGAAUAUUGGACAAUGGGCGAAAGCCUGAUCCAGCCAUGCCGCGUGUGUGAAGAAGGUCUUCGGAUUGUAAAGCACUUUAAGUUGGGAGGAAGGGCAGUAAAUUAAUACUUUGCUGUUUUGACGUUACCGACAGAAUAAGCACCGGCUAACUCUGUGCCAGCAGCCGCGGUAAUACAGAGGGUGCAAGCGUUAAUCGGAAUUACUGGGCGUAAAGCGCGCGUAGGUGGUUCGUUAAGUUGGAUGUGAAAUCCCCGGGCUCAACCUGGGAACUGCAUUCAAAACUGACGAGCUAGAGUACGGUAGAGGGUGGUGGAAUUUCCUGUGUAGCGGUGAAAUGCGUAGAUAUAGGAAGGAACACCAGUGGCGAAGGCGACCACCUGGACUGAUACUGACACUGA